rnacentral:rRNA from 1 species
GACGAACGCUGGCGGCGUGCUUAACACAUGCAAGUCGAACGAAGUGGCGAACGGGUGAGUAAUACGUGGGUAACCUGCCCUCCUUUUUGGGAUAAGCCUUGGAAACGGGGUCUAAUACCGAAUAAAGGGGGAUGGGCUCGUGGCCUAUCAGCUUGGUGGUGGGGUGAUGGCCUACCAAGGCGGUGACGGGUAGCCGGGCUGAGAGGGUGAACGGGGACAUGGACACGGAGCAAAGGCCCAGGCGCCGCAGGGGAGGGGCAGUGGGGGCUAUUGGCGAAUGGGUGAAGGCCUGAUGCCGCGGGGACGAAGGGGGGGUGCAGGGUGUCGGGUUGUAAACCUCUUUAGCUAUCGAACGGGUAGGGGGAGAAGAAGCGCCGGCUAACUACGUGCCAGCAGCCGCGGUAAUAC